CGGCCUCGGGACGGGCCCGGAGGUGCCACCCCGCGGGUGGGGGCCCGGCACUCCGGCCGGCCCGCGGGGGGGUAGGGGGGUCUAGGGCACCGCCAGCUUGUGCCAUCGCUCUCCCGCGAUGGUGGUGUGGGCGCUCCGAGACACCAACCUACCCAAGCAGGGCUGGUGAGAGAAGCUGGAAUUAAAGAAACCGGCCUCAGACACCCCGAGAGAAGCCACCAGGUUCCAGAUGAUACCAUGAUGCCAACCUGACUUCCCUGGACAGACAACCUCACCAGUGUGUCCUGGAGCCCUCCCUGCCUCCCCAGAUCCCUGCCUCACUAAGGAAAGAGAAAGACAGGCUGGGAGUAUGGAUCGACCUGCCAGCGCCCAUGUUCAGCGGAGAAGCAGUUACAAAAGCCAGACCUUCCACCUUCUGCACCCUGUAAUGAUCCUGGGUCCAUACUCCCAGAGGGAUAAAGAAUAAGGAAGCUA